rnacentral:rRNA from 1 species
AUACGGAGGGUGCAAGCGUUAUCCGGAAUUAUAGGGUUUAAAGGGUCCGUAGGCGGCUAGAUAAGUCAGUGGUGAAAUUCUCUCGCUCAACGAGAGACCUGCCAUUGAUACUGUCUUGGCUAGAGUUACAGUGAGGUGAGUGGAAUGUGUAGUGUAGCGGUGAAAUGCAUAGAUAUUACACAGAACACCGAUUGCGAAGGCAGCUCACUAACUGUAUACUGACGCUGAUGGACGAAAGCGUGGGGAGCAAACAGGAUUAGAAACCCUAGUAGUCC